rnacentral:rRNA from 1 species
UACGUAGGGUGCAAGCGUUAAUCGGAAUUACUGGGCGUAAAGCGUGCGCAGGCGGUGAUGUAAGACAGGUGUGAAAUCCCCGGGCUUAACCUGGGAACUGCAUUUGUGACUGCAUCGCUGGAGUGCGGCAGAGGGGGAUGGAAUUCCGGCGUGUAGCAGUGAAAUGCGUAGAUAAUCGGGAGGAACACCAGUGGCGAAGGCGACUACCUGGCCUGUUCUUGACGCUGAGGCGCGAAAGCUAGGGGAGCAAACGGG